CCUUUGAAGAAGCCUGUUCAGGGGUCCACCCCUCAGAGUUCAGGUUUCACUGAUUUCCACCCGCGCCGGACGGUUCUGUGCCACGGCUCUGCAAACGCUUUGUAACAGGGUCACAGCCAGAAGAGUCCAGAAAUGUGGAGUGAACACUUAGAGACAUUUACAGCAACGUGACCAUAUCUGUGGAAUCUGAUUACGAGAAACCAAAGCUUGUAUUGUGUAUGUCUUUGUACUUCUCUUCAUGUUGUUCUUCCAGAAAUUCAUUUGUGUUGCAUUUUACAAAAAAGUGUCCACAUGGUCUUUGACCACAGUGUGGGCCAAAUGACCAGUUUGUAAAUUAGCACAGUGACACCUGCAGCUCUCAGCCGUGGAUUCUGAUCUCCUGGAAGGAGGAUUCUCUGUCCUGACCACAAAGGCGAGCUUCCAGAAACCCAGGACUUCCCUGAGCUUGCGAGAACCUGCUGAUGAAUAGUGGCCAAGCCAGUCCUGCGAUGUCAUCCUUCCCUGUCAUGUGCCCCAGAAGAGGCUGUGGGGGGAGGAGAGGACCUUUGGUCCUCACCCACCUCUUAUAAGGGAAACUACCAACAUCUAAAAACAUGAACCUGAAAUGUAUCACUCAACAAAGAGGACCCAGCUUCUCCCAUAGGCUGAGAUGCUGACUCAGUUCUGUUGCAGAGAAAAUAAGAAGGCAGAGGAACAGACCGUCUUGCGCCCAGAGACUUUAACAACCAGCCUGGGGGCGGUGAGGAAGCACUGAUGUGUAGGGUGUGGCCAUCACCAUGGUGACAGUGCUCCCACAGUGGCCAUCCCUGGGAAAGAGGUGAAGCGGCUCAGCUUCACAAGCAUUUCUACCACACGGAUACGACACCCCUCAACAGCCCCAAGGGCACAGGUCAUCGUAAAAUGUAGGAAAAUAAUUCCUGAUGAGAGGCACUUACUUGCUCCUUCUCUUCAACUUGCCCCGGACACCAGGAAGUUAAUCGUUCCCCUAAAAGACAGCUGACUGGUUGUUGGAUAGAUGGAACCAAGUGAAUCUAUCAGUAUGGAAAAACAUCCCUUCACAAUAAUUCAACUUUGAGAAUGAGGAUGGGAGAUGACCCUUCCCUCGGUUCCAGUUUCAUUACCCAGGAAGCAGAACUGACUACAACAAGCCUUCCAGCUCCCCGCCAGACGCGGAUGCCUCCAAUACCAUCUGUUCUUUCCGUAUUGCCAUCACCUGCUUGGAAAUGGCGCUUUUUAGAGGGACUUUUUUUUAGUGUUGUUGGCUGGAUCUUCAGCAAGAAAACUCAAGUUGAACACAAGAUCGCCCCGUGUCCGGGUGACCUUCCAGUAUCCUGGCCGGUCAGCCUGGAACAAGCAAGCCUCUGCAGUGUGCUACCCUAGAAGAGAUGUUGUUGGCUAGAAUUUCAGCAAGAAAACUCAGCAACUUUUGGAGCGCCACCUAUUCUCCCUCUCUCUCUCUCUCUGGUUUCUUUUUCUUGUCUUCACUUAUUCAAUUAAAGUGUACUGCACUUUUAUUUAGUUAUGCCAAAAUAAAUGGAAAGAAAAUCCUGAAGCAGGAGAUGAAUGUAAACUGGGAAAAUCUUGCAAAAUCACAAAAUAAUUCUUGGUGCUUCCAGAGACAGAAGAAAGCACUGAAACAGACCCACUCUCUCUGUAGGAGUGUGAAAGUUGACAACCUCUGGAAUUAAAGAUGACAUUUGCUGCCUCUUAUUUCUUAGAUUCCAAAUGGUAUUGUCGACUGUAAUAUGAACUUGAUCUCUUUUUAACUGGUAUCAUGAAUACAAUCCAUUGGCCAAAGAAAAAAUAAGAGUGUGUUUGCUAUCAAGAGACUAGUAAUGCUACCUGACAUGAGUACACGUGCUUUUCAGUUUCCAAAACCUAUUCAUAAACAUCGUCUCAUUUGAUGCUCACAGCAAUUUUGUGGGAUCCACAGAAACAGCCUCAAUGUGUAGGAGGAAAGUUUCAAUUAAUCAUCUCUAUGAGGGCAGCAGCAAGCUUAGAGGACAACAGUGUUUAUCAGGGUUAAAAGUAAAAUAAUGGGUCAAAUAAAAAUAAACUUCAUCCAUGAAAGAAGGAAUUGAUAAGGUGGACUUCAUUCAAAUUAAAAACUUCUGCUCUGCAAAGGACAAAUAUAUGUCAAGAGAACAAGACAGGCCACAGAUUGAGAAAAAAAUAUUUGUAAAAGAUAUAUCUGACAAAGGACUGUUACCCAAAAUAUACAAAGAACUCUUAAGAUUCAACAGUAAGAAAAUGAACAACUGAUUUAAAAAUAGGCCACAGCCCUUAACAGACACCUCACCAAAGAAGGUACACAGAUGGCUAAUAAUCAUAUGAAAAGAUGCUCCAUAUCAUAUAUCAUCAGGGAAAUGCUAAUUAGAACAACAGUGAGAUACCACCAUCCACCUGUUAGAAUGACCAAAUUCCAGAACACUGACAAGGCCAAAUUCUGGUGAAGAUAUGGGGCGACGGGAACUCUCAUUCACCUCUGGUGGGAAUGCAAAAUGGUGCAGCCACUUUGCAAGACAGUUUGGUGGUUUCUUACAAAACUAAACAUACUCUUACCAUAUGAUCCAACAACCUUGCUCCUUGGUUUACCCAAAGCAGAUAAAAAAAGUACGCCCACACAAAAACCUCCAUGUGGAUGUUGAUAGCAGCUUUACGCAUAAACUCAUAAUUGCAAAACUUGGAAGCAAACAAGAUGGCCUUCAGUAGAUGAAUGGAUAAAUUGUCAUCCAUCUGGAUAAUGGAAUAUUAUUCAGCGCUAAAAAAAGAAAUGAGCUAAAAAAAGACAUGGAGGAAUCUUAAAUACAUAUUACUAAGUGGAAGAAGCCAAUCUGAAAAGUCUAUGUACUGUAUGAUUCCAACUAUACAACAUUCUGGAAAAGGCAAAACUAUAGUAAAAAGAUCAGUAGUUGUCGGGUUAAGGGAGAGUUAGGGAUAAAAAGGGGAAUUAAGCACAUAGGAUUUUUAGGGCAGUAAAACUACUGUGUAUGAUACUAUCAUGCUGGGUCCACAUCAUCAUACAUUUGUCGAAAGUGAUAGGAUGUGGGCUUCCCUGGUGGCGCAGUGGUUAAGAAUCUGCCUGCCAAUGCAGGGGACACGGGUUCAAGCCCUGGUCCGGGAAGAUCCCACAUGCCACGGAGCAACUAAGCCCGUGAGCCACAACUACUGAGCCUGCGCUCUAGAGCCCGCGUGCCACAAUUACUGAAGCCCGCGUGCCUAGAGCCCGUGCUUCACAACAAGAGAAGCCACGGCCAUGAGAAGCCCGCGCACCGCAACGAAGAAUAGCCCCCGCUCACUGCAACUAGAGAAAGCACACACGCAGCAACGAAGACCCAACGCAGCCAAAAAUAAAGUAAAUAAUUUUUUUUAAAAAAGUGAUAGGACGUACAACACUAAGAAUGAAACUUAAUGUAAACUAUGGACUUUAGGUGAUGAUGAUGUAUUGGUGCAGGUCCAUAGAUUGUAACAAAGGUGCCACCCUGGUGGAAAUGUUGAAGGAGGUUGUGCAUGUGAGGGAGCGGGGGUGGUAUAUGGGACCUCUCUGUACUUGCCUCUCAGUCUUGCUGUGAACUGAAAACUUCUCUAAAAAGUAAAGUUAUUAAUUUAAAAAGUAAAUGACAAUAAAAAGCCUCAAGACUUAACAUUUCAGUUAAGAGAUUUUAAUCGCAAUACAGGAUGGGUUCCAUUUUAGUGUUCUGCAAGCAUCAAAUUUAACAAGUCGAUCUUUUUCUAAUCCCUUACAGAAAACCCUGAGUAGAAAUCAGAAUUCAGUUGACAGGUCAGUGCAAGUUGAAACCCCGAAUGGCAGGGCAGCUUAAGUGUUUUACACAUGUGUCAAAAGAUCAGCCGAUAGAGUCUUGGUCCUCUGCCCAGCACAGCAAUGACAGUGGCAUUAUCAGUGGAACUGAUUUGGGAUCGUCUUUUCAUUCCAGACAUAUGAAUCACUCUAGGUAUUGGAAUAACAGCACAGUGGCUUCUCCCAAAGGAAAGGAUUGCAGGAUGCCUCCACACAUAGACAAUAAGAUCGGAAAUACUCAGUUACACAUACAUGGAAAACAGCGAUCUUAUCUUGCAGUAUCUCUUUGAGAAGCCCAGGAUAGACAGGAGAGAACCUGCAGGUGUUCUUUCACUUAGAAGAUGAAUGUGAUAAAAUGCACAUUUCAUGGAAGGUAUAUGUGUCACCUGUCCCAGAAUGUGUUGGUUCUAGUCUGAAAUGCAUGCUUAAUUAUCCCAACCAUUUAAAAGCUUCAGCAUUGCAGAUGGUCAGAAAAUUGCCUGUGACCCACGUUUAGCCUCUCUCUCUCUCUUAACCUCUUCUGGCACAGUGAGAGCUGUAGGAUCACAGAUCAUUUAUACAUGCUUCAACCCCAUCAAACUUAUUACUCACUUUAUUUAGACUAUAUCUCAUUUUAAAAUUUUUAGAUGUUUCUUAUUUAGAGUAUACGUUUUCCCAUUCUCUUGGUUUAAUUAAUUUAUAGGUGAAAAUUGAGCUAGACUUUUUAAUUUUUUCAAACAAUUGCUUUUCUCUCUGAAAUAUUCUCUCUUGGAUAAUUCUUAUUAUUUCCUUCAGCACAACACAGGCAUCACUGUACCAGGAGGGCUUCCAAAACUCCUUCUGAGCGCAAACGUCUCUUACAUUCUCUUCUGUCCGGUUUAACUAGCCAAGAUUUUGCCUCUCGCCUCCUGGAUGUGAGGAACUGGAGGGUUGGGAUCCGGUAUGGUUAUCAGCACAGAAGAGAUGCUCUUAAAUGUUUAAUGAAUAAAGUAUGAAUAAAUGAUGGGAACAAGUUCUUGUUUCUUCAACAGAAUUCAGACCAUACAAGUUGAAAAAUUUCAUGUAGAUCAGUUUCUUUAGAUGUAGAGGGAUGUAUCUACCAGCUCAAGGGUUCUCAAGCUUAAGUAAUAUAUCAAACACUUUUUCUCACCACGAUUAGACUUAAAAUAUCUAGAAAGUUACAAAAUGGGUACAAUAAACACCGAAAGUCCUGCCACUUACAAUUUUAACUUAACAUUUUAUUGUAUUUUAUUCUGGGUUUUUUCAAAAUAUCGAUACAAGCAGAGGUCCCUUUCAACAGGUAUAUGGUGCCAAUCACGGGCCUCCUGCCUUUCUGCUCCACAGUCACCCUUUUUUGCCUGCUCUGCGAAAAUAGGGGUGGGUCCUUUAAAGAUUUUUCCUUUGCCAGCUGGAGCAAUGCUAAGUUUUGUCAGUAGAGGGCGCAGGAGGACAGGGUUUGCCUCCUAGUUCCGGUGUCUCCCUCAGCCCAGCAGACAUCCCCAGGUCAGGCUCCUCUGGAGCCGGUGGCUGGCCCAGGACCCGGCUUCCCCAGAGCUCACGGCUCCUCCACUGCUCUGCAUGCAGUACCUGGCAGCCAGCAGCUUCAGUGGCAGCAGCGUACCGCCCUCUCCCCCGGCCCCCUUGGGCGGUUUCGUAGCCCCGUGCUUCCCCGUGACCACCCUUCCCCGGCA